rnacentral:pre_miRNA from 1 species
AGUGGAAUUGCUGGGUCAUAUGGUAACUCUAGGAUUAGCUUUUUGAGGAACUGCCAGACUGUUUUCCGCAGUGGCUGCACCAUUCUGCAUUCCCACCAGCGAU